GAUGAACGCUGACAGAAUGCUUAACACAUGCAAGUCCACUUGAACUUCGGUUUGGGUGGCGGACGGGUGAGUAACGCGUAAAGAACUUGCCUCACAGAUAGGGACAACAUUUGGAAACGAAUGCUAAUACCUGAUAUUAUGAUUAUAUGGCAUCGUAUAAUUAUGAAAGCUAUAUGCGCUGUGAGAGAGCUUUGCGUCCCAUUAGCUAGUUGGAGAGGUAACGGCUCACCAAGGCGAUGAUGGGUAGCCGGCCUGAGAGGGUGAUCGGCCACAAGGGGACUGAGACACGGCCCUUACUCCUACGGGAGGCAGCAGUGGGGAAUAUUGGACAAUGGACCAAGAGUCUGAUCCAGCAAUUCUGUGUGCACGAUGAAGUUUUUCGGAAUGUAAAGUGCUUUCAGUUGGGAAGAAAAAAAUGACGGUACCAACAGAAGAAGUGACGGCGAAAUACG
rnacentral:rRNA from 1 species